ensembl:lncRNA
UUAUUUUUUUGCCUAUAUUUUCUUUUCCUUAUUUCUUUUACUAUUUGCUAACUUUUAGGGGUUUAAAAAAAAUUUUUUUUUAAUGUAAUUCACCAUCAAUCAAGAUGAAAUAAAUCGCUCUUGAGUUUUUGUUUUUUAAUUUAACUCUGUAUUCCUCAAUGUUUUUACUUCAUCUCGUUAUUUUGCUCGUUCCUGAAAACAAACAGUACGACGUCACAUUCAGUGAAUUUAUACAUGACCAUUUAAAGUAAAUUACAACUAUGGGGAGGGCACAAAAUAUUAACAACUCAAACUAAAUAAAAAUUCAAUAAUAUACUAAUCUUAGCCUUUCAGCCCUGAAAAUGGUUUAUUUUCCUAUAACGGCAUGUUUCUAAGUAUUUUAUUCCUCUUACACCUCAACAAUUUGCCAGCAAGUACAAUUUUUAUUUAUAUAUUUAAAGGACAUUAUACUUUUUAUCCGUUUAUAGUUACGUUUGUGAUGUUGGUGAAAUUAGUUAGUUCCUGUUGUCACUUGCGUUAUAGCAGCUAUAAACAGUUGUUCCAUUACCACUCUCUCUCUCUCUCUCUCUCUCUCUCUCUCUCUCUGUGUAUGUGUAUGUGUGUUGGCAUAUUAGAGAAACCGUAAAGAAGUGUAAACUCCUCUGUCCUGGAAACUUGGUUACAGCUUUACCUCUGACUGUUACAAAGGGCUGACACUGUAGACUUCUUCUCAACACGUUACAUAAACAUCUCCUUACAGACCAAAGCUGACGUGGGGUUUUUUAAAUUAUUAUUAUUAUUAUUUUUUUUUAAGUUAAUCUGGCGCGUCCACUAUACAUGAGCGGUUACUAUAAAAACAAAACGUACCAGAACGAGCACGUUAAUAUAAACCCGUGAUUUGCAGCUGCACUCCUGUCAGAGCUGCAUCUAUAAAAGUUUCGACCGCAAGCACGGUCAAAUUCUCGAUUCUGGAUUUUCAGGAGGUGUUGAUUCAUUUCUCGGGAACAUGACAAGCUGCAUCUCUUAUUAUUGUUAUUUUUAUUAACUUGGAGAGAGAAUAUAGAGAGGGGUGGUGAGGGAACGACUAUUUAUAGCUGCUAUAACAUAAGCGAGAACAGGAACUCACUUGUUCUGCUGACGUUCCAUGAUAUUAAAUGUAAGUGUAAAUGGAUAAAAAGUAGCUCAUGGCAAAAUGCUGUAGUCAGGCCAUGUCAUACCACCUCAUCGCUGGUUAUUUUCAAAACGGCACCCCUGCCCCGUUUACUGUAGUAUUUCUAAAAUAAAAUGCAAGUGAUUCAAGGAGGCCUUAGGUGCGUUUCGAUUUUAAAAAAAUUGUAGAACAAACUAUCUGAACUAUUUUCUAGGUUAAGCAACGACAGCAUGUCAGACCACGCCCACAUCUCGUUCGUUUGAAUAUCGUUUUCAGAAUGACCUUGAAAUGCGUAAUAAUACCACAGCCUAAACAGCACGUUGCUCUGCAGUGGUAUUGUAGUACUCAGAGUGGACUAGUCACUUGGGGUCGAGUAACUUGAUGCCGAGACGUCGUAGCUCGUUUCUCGAACCAGCGCUUUUGAGGACCUUUAGCUACACGGAUGUUUGCCAGCUGGAGGCAGAAUGUGGCGAUCAGAUCUAUCCAAUGAGGUGCCAACUGAAGGAGCCAGCCAAUCAGAAAAAGCCUAGCCAAUCAGAAGAGACGGAGGAAAAUCUGUCCUCUGGAAGAGAAGCUAUAGCUGAAGGGAGUCUCCAGCUCAGAGAGAGACGGAGUGAGACAAGCGACAGUCUUAUUGAGGAAAAGCUUAUUUCUCAUGUAAGACUAGCGAGAGUGAGGUAUUAAACAUGCAGGACUGGUAGGUAAGAGGCACAUGUGUUCUUUUCAUCUGUAUUUUUAAUGCAUUUAUUGUUUAAAAAGAAGUGUUUUUUGUUGUUUUUGUCCGAAACCAAAGGUUUAUCAGCAGAUUUAAUGUCUGGUGAAAUGUUUCUGUAAUUCACUGGUGGUGCAUGAGACACCAAAGACUUAAACACUACAACUUCUCAUCUUAAACUGUGUUUUGUCUUGGUUUUAGUUUUUGUUUUUUGUUUUUUUUCUCUCUGAUUUGUUUAUAAUUUUUUCCCCCCCUGAGUCGUGCGUUUCUUGUGUAACAGAUGACUGAACCAGAGGAUGGAUUUCUUUCUUCCGUGUGCAGCUUUUCCAGCGCAGAGAGCUGAUGAAUGUUUCCCUGAGAAGGGUGUUUCAGGAUGAGGAGCAAAAUGGCGGCUGCUGCUGCUGCUGCAUGAAGUUUUAAAUUUUUUUAAAUGGUUUUUUAUGUCAAUUUUUACAAUAAAAUUUUAAAGAAAGUGACUUUUUGUUCUCUCUUUUCUAUAUUACUACCAACAUAUUUUUAUGAGGUACCGAACCAGAUUAUACUGUAGAGCUCUAUUAUUCUGGUGCAUCGUCCAAGUACCGAGUAAUAUCUGAUAACCAGAUAAUAUUAAAAUAACCUUUUUUUCUCUCUUUUUUUUUUUUU